rnacentral:rRNA from 1 species
UACGAAGGGUGCAAGCGUUACUCGGAAUUACUGGGCGUAAAGCGUGCGUAGGCGGUUUGUUAAGUCUGAUGUGAAAGCCCUGGGCUCAACCUGGGAAUGGCAUUGGAUACUGGCAACCUAGAAUGUGGUAGAGGGUGGCGGAAUUCCCGGUGUAGCAGUGAAAUGCGUAGAUAUCGGGAGGAACAUCCGUGGCGAAGGCGGCCGCCUGGACCAACAUUGACGCUGAGGCACGAAAGCGUGGGGAGCAAACAGG